CGUCAGGAUUAACGCUGGCGGCGUGCCUAAUACAUGCAAGUCGAAUGGUAGUAGCAAUACAAACCAUGGCGAACGGGUGAGUAACACGUAGGCAACCUGACUUUAAGACGAGGAUAACCGUUGGAAACGACGGAUAAUACUGGAUAGGACAUCACAAAGGGCAUCCUUAGAUGUUUAAAGGUUAUUAUGCCACUUAGAGAGGGGGCCUGCGGCGCAUUAGCUAGUUGGUGAGAUAACAGCCCACCAAGGCGAUGAUGCGUAGCCGGACUGAGAGGUUGAACGGCCACAAUGGAACUGAGAACGGUCCAUACUCCUACGGGAGGCAGCAGUAGGGAAUUUUCGGCAAUGGGCGCAAGCCUGACCGAAGCAACGCCGCGUGAACGAAGAAGUUAUUCGUAAUGUAAAGUUCUUUUAUCUGGGAAGAAAAAACAAAUUGACGGUACCAGAUGAAUAAGCUCCGGCUAACUACGUGCCAGCAGCAGC
rnacentral:rRNA from 1 species